UGAGCCUAUAAAGUCUCUUUAAGUAGGAGUUUGAGAUUCUUCCUAGAGACUUUAUUCUGGGCAGGAGGUUAACUAGUGGUAGGACUGGGGGCACUUGAGGCAUUAUCCUUAUGAUUCCACUUGCAGCCAGUCUUGCUCUGAAGAGUUCUUACUUAUGUUUUAUUCUGGAUGACUCAAUGGAGAAGGAGAAAGAAAAGUGGAAACAGCCUAGAGAAGAAGCUGAGAAGAUAGAGACAGGUUAUCCUCCUAUGCGAUUUUAAUGGUGUUCAAAAUAUCAUGGAAGUUGUAAGGUAAAAACAUGUUCAUUUCCUGAGGAGCCUACACACACACAGACUGACCACUGAAGAAAUAUAUAAGUAGGAUUAUUAAAAUGUCUCUUUCUCAUUGUUCUGCCCAUGUUCAAUGUUAGGGUUUUUCUGUAGUAAUACUGAGCUAUUUGUUGUAUGCCAUCUUUCUAGCCUUACCCUUU